GACGCACGCUGGCGGCGUGCUUAACACAUGCAAGUCGAACGAAGUGGCGAACGGGUGAGUAACGCGUAAUCCACCUGCCCUUCAGAGGGGGACAACAGUUGGAAACUACUGCUAAUACCGCAUACUGUAGGUGGUGAUUGCGUCAGAUUAGCUAGUUGGAGGGGUAACGGCCCACCAAGGCGAUGAUCAGGAGCCGAUAUGAGAGGAUGAAGGGGCAGAUUGGGAAGGAGACACGACCCAGACGCAAACGGGAGGAAGAAGUGGGGAAGCUUCAGCAAUGGACGAAAGACUGACGGAGCAACGCCGCGUGGGUGAUGACGGCAUUAGGGUUGUAAAGCUAUGUUAAUCGGGACGCGGUACCGGAAUAGAAAGCCACGGCUAACUACGUGCCAGCAGCCGCGGUAAUUC
rnacentral:rRNA from 1 species